rnacentral:rRNA from 1 species
GUCCACACCGUAAACGAUGGAUACUAGGUGUCGGGGUAUCGAGCCCCUCGGUGCCGCAGUUAACACAAUAAGUAUCCCACCUGGGGAGUACGAUCGCAAGGUUGAAACUCAAAGGAAUUGACGGGGACCCGCACAAGCAGUGGAGUAUGUGGUUUAAUUCGAAGCAACGCGAAGAACCUUACCAGGACUUGACAUCUGAAGAAUCUUGUAGAGAUACGAGAGUGCCUUCGGGAACUUCAAGACAGGUGGUGCAUGGUUGUCGU